rnacentral:misc_RNA from 1 species
UUUGAUCCAUUGCGUCCCUUUGAAAACCAUGUCGUUCUAUACGACAGGCGGAAUAGGGUCCCUCACUGGGUAUUCGAACAUUUAAAGAAAGAACACGUUGAAAAGAACGACAAAGUUGAUAGAAAAUCGAGUGAUUUUACAGAGGAUCAGGCAAUUCACCCUUUCUUCCGUUCCACCAAUGCUGAUUACAAGAGAAGCGGAUAUGACAGAGGUCAUAUGGCGGCAGCAAGCAACCACAGACAUUCCCAAAAAGCUAUGGAUGAUACCUUCUGCCUCAGUAAUAUAGCACCGCAGGUUGGUAAGGGAUUUAAUCGAGACGUGUGGAACGAUCUUGAGAAAUACGUGAGAGCACUUGCAAGGAAACACAGGAAUGUGUAUGUCUGUACGGGACCUCUGUAUCUACCACGAUUGGAGCCAGAUGGUAAAGUAUACAUAAAAUAUGAGGUGAUCGGCAAAAACAAUGUCUCUGUACCUACUCACUUUUUCAAAGUCAUUGUUAUGGAGACCGAUAAAGGAGAGUUCGAAAUGAAUUCGUUCGUCAUACCCAACCAGAGUUUCCCAGAGAACACGCCGCUGAAGAACUUCUUGGUUCCGGUAGAAACGAUAGAACGGGCUUCCGGUUUCCUUUUGUUUGACGGGGUGCCAAAACAUAGACUGAAGACAAUCAAUGGAAAGAAAGUUUGAGGAAUAGUUACUUAAUAGAUAAAAAAAAAAAUUGAAAGUGCUGGUGUCUGACCAUCGCUGGAAAUCCACGAUCAGUAGCACAUGAUACUCUGACAGUCCGCAGGACAACUCAUUGAACUCUUCUCGUUUUCAUGAAUAAUUAAUGUCUUCUUCUAAACGGCUCCUUCACAGUUAGAGAAAUGGUUCAUGUACCAAUAAUGUCCAGUAUGUUUUCAUUUUGGUUUCAGCUUGAACGUUUGCUAGAUGUCAGUGAGAAAUAUUUAUAACAAAAACAUUGAGAUUAUUGAUGAAUUUAUAAUAACCCGUCAAAAUAGACGUACCAAUAUACUUGCCUGCCAUGUGCCUACAUUAACAUUCUUCUGUGUUUCCAUUAAAUUAUGUGAUCAUGCC